GAUACCAGCCUAUCUCCAAAUCAGUUUUGCUCGUGGAUAGCGUAGGACGGCAUGCUCAAUCGACUCCUCUUCGAGCCCACACAUCGGACAGGAGAUCGAAAUGUCCAUGCUCCUCCGUUUGAGAAGAGUGCACGUCGGUAGGCGAUCCCAGACAAGCUUCCAAAGGAAGAGCCUCAUUGGGGUGGGCAGUCGCUCUCCAGAUCCAGGUGCAUCAAUCCUCCAACUACCAUCAGUCUAUACAUCUAGGUCAGGUCAUGUAAGGAGAUCUUCAGACAGUAAGACCGAUCCUAAACCCUCACAUCUCUGCAGGAAAGAAUCGGGAUCGGAGUGGCAAGAAUCCGAUCAGCAAGCAGACCUCCGAAUAGGCGGUAGAUCUCUUGGACUCGCCAACUCC
rnacentral:lncRNA from 1 species